rnacentral:rRNA from 1 species
UACGUAGGUGGCAAGCGUUAUCCGGAAUUAUUGGGCGUAAAGCGCGCGCAGGCGGUUUCUUAAGUCUGAUGCGAAAGCCCACGGCUCAACCGUGGAGGGUCAUUGGAAACUGGGAAACUUGAGUGCAGAAGAGAAGAGUGGAAUUCCACGUGUAGCGGUGAAAUGCGUAGAGAUGUGGAGGAACACCAGUGGCGAAGGCGACUCCUUGGUCUGUAACUGACGCUGAGGCGCGAAAGCGUGGGGAGCAAACAGG